rnacentral:rRNA from 1 species
AGAGUUUGAUCCUGGCUCAGGACGAACGCUGGCGGCGUGCUUAACACAUGCAAGUCGAACGGUGACAGGGAGCUUGCUCCCUCGAUCAGUGGCGAACGGGUGAGUAACACGUGAGUAACCUGCCCCAGACUCUGGGAUAACCUCGGGAAACCGGGGCUAAUACCGGAUACGACCUUGGAUGGCAUCUUCCGAGGUGGAAAGCGUUAGUGGUUGGGGAUGGGCCCGCGGCCUAUCAGCUUGUUGGUGGGGUAAUGGCCCACCAAGGCGACGACGGGUAGCCGGCCUGAGAGGGCGACCGGCCACACUGGGACUGAGACACGGCCCAGACUCCUACGGGAGGCAGCAGUGGGGAAUAUUGCGCAAUGGGCGGAAGCCUGACGCAGCAACGCCGCGUGAGGGACGAAGGCCUUCGGGUUGUAGACCUCUUUCAGCAGGGACGAAGCGAGAGUGACGGUACCUGCAGAAGAAGCGCCGGCUAACUACGUGCCAGCAGCCGCGGUAAUACGUAGGGCGCAAGCGUUGUCCGGAAUUAUUGGGCGUAAAGGGCUCGUAGGCGGUCUGUCACGUCGGCUGUGCAAACCCGGGGCUCAACCCCGGGCCUGCAGUCGAUACGGGCAGACUUGAGUUCGGUAGGGGAGACUGGAAUUCCUGGUGUAACGGUGAAAUGCGCAGAUAUCAGGAGGAACACCGGUGGCGAAGC